UACGGAGGGUGCGAGCGUUGUCCGGAAUUAUUGGGCGUAAAGAGCUUGUAGGCGGUUUGUCGCGUCUGCUGUGAAAUUUCGGGGCUCAACCCCGAACUUGCAGUGGGUACGGGCAGACUAGAGUGUGGUAGGGGGAGACUGGAAUUCCUGGUGUAGCGGUGAAAUGCGCAGAUAUCAGGAGGAACACCGGUGGCGAAGGCGGUUCUCUGGGCCGGUACUGACGCUGAGACGCGAAAGCGUGGGGAGCGAACAGG
rnacentral:rRNA from 1 species